ACGGGUGAGUAAAACGUAGGGAUCUGCCUUGUGGACGGGGAUAACUUGGGGAAACUUGAGCUAAUACCGGAUAAGCUUUAAGAAGGAAAGGGUGGGACAGGAAACUGCCACUUGCCAUAAGAUGAGCCUACGUCGGAUUAGCUAGUUGGUAGGGUAAAGGCCUACCAAGGCGGUGAUCCGUAGCUGGUCUGAGAGGAUGGACAGCCACACUGGGACUGAGACACGGCCCAGACUCCUACGGGAGGCAGCAGUGGGGAAUAUUGGACAAUGGGCGAAAGCCUGAUCCAGCGAUGCCGCGUGUGCGAAGAAGGCCUGCGGGUUGUAAAGCACUUUGGUUGGGGAAGAAGGUUGGGAGUUUAAUAGACUUCUGAAUUGACGUUACCCAAAGAACAAGCACCGGCUAACUCUGUGCCAGCAGCCGCGGUAAUACAGAGGGUGCGAGCGUUAAUCGGAAUUACUGGGCGUAAAGGGCGCGUAGGCGGUUAUUUAAGUUAGAUGUGAAAUCCCUGGGCUUAACCUGGGAAUGGCAUUUAAGACUGAAUGGCUAGAGUAGAAUAGAGGGAAGUGGAAUUUCCGGU
rnacentral:rRNA from 1 species